AGAGGAAGAAGAGGAGGAAGAAGAGAAGAUGAAGAGGAAGAAGAGGAGGAGGAGGAUAAGGACUUGGUUGGUGUAGCAGUGCUGGGAGGUGCCAUAACACAGGGCACUCCUCACCUCAACAACAGUCUCUUCACCGACAAGUAAUUCUUCACCAACAAGCUUUUCAGCAGCUUGGAGAAAUAGACACCACCAAACGAAGAAGAGGAGGAGGAGGAGGAGGAAGAAGAAGACGAGGAACACAGGAGGAGCCCAUUGAGACUAGAAGAAGAAGAAGAGGAAGAAGAGGAAGAGGAAGAGGAAGACUGACAGACAGACAUUCCAUUGAGUGUGCGGCGUCCAGCAGGCAGGCAGACCGAGACGCCAGCCAUUCAAUUCUGCCGAGGGAAGGAAGUCGUGUUAGUCAACUCUGAUGACUUGUACUUUUCUCUGCAAGGGACUGUUCUGUAAGCCAGUCACAGAAGAUGUGAACUGUAUCUGUACUAUGAAGUCUUGUAAAUAAAGUUAAGGCCCCAAACCCAUUUAGCUAAUAUCCCCGGACACUUUUUUAGGUAUAAUUAGGUACAUUUUUCAGGCUACUUUUCAAGAUGUUUUUGAGCUGUAAGCUGAUAUAUCUAGUUGCUUUGAUCUUUUUUAAAAGCUAAUUCUAUAUAUAUUAAAGGGAGGAACUAAUUUUCAUACAGAAAAAAAACAUAAUAUAAAAAGAAUUAUAUAUGAAUUGGAAACAAGAUAUAAGAGAAGACAACGAAGGGAACUAACAAGAGGAGAGAUUGUAUACAUAAAGAGCUCAAAAGUCAUUGAAAAAGCAAUGGAAAUUAAGAGACAAUAAGAACAUAUGAAAUAAAAGACGUGGAAACAAGAAGAAAAUAAGACAGACAUGAGAUUAUUACUAUGACAUAAAUACCUUAGACAAAGAGAAAGCAGAUAACAUAUCACAGACUAAAAUAUUUGAGGCGUACGGCAGAGAAGUGAGGUGACAUUAGGAAUGGCGACCCUUGUGUAAAUUGUACGAAGGGUCUUUUUCCCCUUGCAAUUAGUAUCAUAACAUAGCAAUUUAACUCUAAUUUGCACUGGGAAAGACAGACUCUACCCCUCCAAGGAUGAACGAGGGACGAAUCAAAAUGGAAGCUCAACUUUUAUGGGGCAGACGGAGGGUCACUUUCCCUUGUAACGUACAUCAUGACGAGCAAUAUGGCAAUAAUUAUGUUCUAGUUAGCAAGGGGGGAAAGGAAGAACAAGAUAUAGUUACUUGCAAGGGAAAAUAAACCUUGCAUAGGAUGAGCGGAGGGCUGGAAGUCUCGUAAUCUGUUCUCAGUGUGUUACCGUACUCUAAUAUACGUAACAAUAGGUCACCGUGCCUUAGGAUUUCUCUGCCGUAAGCCUCGUUAAGAGAUGAGGAGGAAGGGAAAUAAGCAAAUAAUGGAACUCUAUAUAUACGAUACAGUGAAAAGGAUUUACCAAGAAGGAUGUACGUAUGAGAGGAGGAGGAGGAGGAGGCGGAGAAGAGAGAGAUUAAGGUAAGUAAAGGGAAGUAAAACAGAUGAUGAGGUAAUAUAUAUAAAUAAAACUA